UUUGGUUGAUCCCGAGGGCCUCUCGAGGUGACAGCCAUGCCAUCCAAUGCCACCUGAUAUCUCUCAUCAGGUCGAAUUACCCAGGCUGCUACAAUAAUGCCGUAUGCAACAAAUGACUGAGCUAGCAGCUCAGUGAAAACGUUUCCAGAGCAGACUGGCUUAGCAACCUCAGAAUUUCCUUUUGGCUUCUUUUGAUAAUGAAGAGAGAAAACAGUUUUGCUUUUAACUAUGACUUCGCAGGAAGAGGUACAAGAGACAAAUCCCAAUAUUGGAAGUCUUGAAAUCAUCUCCAUUACAGAAGAUGAACUGCCAGUAACAGAACUUCAUUUUUCCUUCAAAAGAUUCUUCUGCAUACCACAAACA
rnacentral:lncRNA from 1 species